rnacentral:lncRNA from 1 species
UCAAAGGUUACCUAUUCUUUUAACUCUUCCAACUUUUCUGUUUUGAAUUCCUUAUUGAGAUUUGCAUGCUAACUCCCCAAAAUGGAAAUAUUAUCCUCAAAUUUAUAAAAGGAGAAUGAGUGGAUUGCAAAAAUACUGAGGAACACAUUUCCCAAAGUUGUGGCAUUAAAAGAAAAUGUUCUAAAGGAGAGCAUCUUUUAUUCUAUCAAUAGUAAGAUUGCAGAACAUGGGACAGGUAGUAGCCUUAAAAUCACUAUGUGACCGGAUGUUGUAAUUUUAAGUUAUAGAGACUGUACUUUCAUAAAUUGCAUGCUGUCCCUCAUGAGAAGCAUGCCUGUAUGAAGUAGCAUUUGUUGAAUUAGUCAGUGGGAAUGGCAGUAAGUGAUGGACAAGACAAGAACACACUGUUUUGACUAAGAAAGAGUGGGUCAGCAGGGUGAGUUAGUUGUGACCUCAAUUGCUCGCUGAAUUCUGACUCAGCUGUAGUUGAUUGUUUCAGAACUUCAUUUACCUCAUGAUAAAAAUUGGAUAAUACUAUGUAGCAGGAUUGCUGUGAAAGUUGGAAAACGUAUACAGAUUCACCCAACUACAGCGUAGAUGUUCAGACAACUACCAGCCUCCUCAGUUGACCAUCAGUUCAGCAAGUUGGUUAUAAAACUGAGCUCUUAAAUAUCCUGUCCCUUAAUGUUGCCCAUUCAUUAUUCAGCACCUAAAUAGACCAAUGACUGCUUCUCUGUAAAGAGUCAUUGAAAGGGGAAUCUUUUUUCUUUCUUUUUCUUACUUAUGGGAGAUAAAAUGUUAACUUCUUAAUGAACUCCAAGUUUUUAAUGUGGUGUUUCUGAAGAAAUGUUAAUUAAACAUCUAGUUGUAUGUACCCAGAGUCUGAGUCAUAUUCACCCACAACUCUAUAUAUUGUUCCCUCCAAAAUUAUGAGAGCAGUGUCACCAAGCCCUGACCUUUGCAUUUGUCAGAUAUACAUUCUGUUUCUGUGGCACUGGCCUAAGAAUGUUCUUCUCUGCCCCUCUUGUUUUUCCUUGCCUCAGAGAAAAAGUUGCACAAUAUGGUGUGGGGGAAAAAAAAAGUCUCCUUCAUGGAAAGGGAGGGGGGAGCAUUCCCUUUAUGAUCUAAGUCAGCAGAUUUACUCUACUUGAGAAAAAAAAUGAAACAACUUUAUUGGAAGCAGAUGUUGACACUGUGUCGGUUAUUGAAGAUGGAAAGAGUUCUCUCCGUCGUUGCAGUUACAAAGCGGUAUUGAUGGCAGUCAAGGUCCCUGUGAUGCGUCACCUUCCCAGCUGGAGAGGACAGCAGAAGCAGUAUGAGACCCAAAAUGAAGUCAGCCUGUGAUUUCAACGUACAAGAAACACCAAGGACUAAGCUUGUUUGCUGCAUAUUUUUCCCCUGCAGGAUGCAUAAUAUAUAUCUUUCAUGUAAUAUUAAGGCUGGAAAGACAAGUUAAAAUCAAACAUCUUAAAAAUACUACAAUUUGAGGAAUCCUUUAAAUAUACCAUGACAUCACGAAAACUUUGAUUAAAUUUAUUUCAGAAAAAUUAGGCUGAUAUUUGUGUCUCAAAGUGUAGCUGAUCACACAGAAACACUUUGAAGGAAGGGUGGCUUUGGCGUUUGGGGGAUGAAUGGAGCCAGCAAGGGAACCUCAGCUUCAAUAGCGUCAGAAUGUUAAUUGCCAUGGUUGUGUGGUCAUAGGAUUAGGUCACAGAUCAGACUUUUAGAAUAUUGGAUCGUAAUUUUUCUCUUAGCGCUUUAUGGGAAUUUUAAAACUGUAAAAUUAGUCAUUAUAGUUAAAUGUAUUGCCUUUUACAUUUUUCUUGUGAGCCUUUGCUUGAAGCAUUUUGUGAUGUCAAGUGAUUAGUCAAGGAAAUAGUUUUGAAAUUUUGACCACCUUAUAUUGAUCCAAGGACAUUUUCUAAAACUCCUUUUAAAUUACAAGGAAUUCUAAUAGGUUUUUAAUGUUGUUUUCCAAUUCUGUUGUGCUGUGUAAAUAAACAGGGCCGUACAGUCAUUUAGAAAGGGACACAACAUCACCAAUUAAUUUCUUUUUCUAAUGAUUUCUGACUACUAAAUUUUAGUCUAAUAUGGGCUCUUUUCAAAAAUGAAAUUCAUAGUGAGACUUUCUUUUUACCUAAGAUGUGAACUUUUCUCUUUAUACUUAUAGACGUAGACAUUUUUUCCUUCUGUUUUGUGGCUAGAGUCACAAAACAGAAUGUAAUGAAUCUACAUACUGGGUUCAAUGUGUAGGAUAUGUAUACUUGUGAACAUCCUAUCUGAUUUACAAAUGCUAUUCCAUUUAGGUAUUUUUCAAGAUGUACGAUGUAGAGAAAACCCCAUGUGCAUUCUUUGUAUCAUUUUAAAGUGCAUAUAUUUAAAGGAAAACACUGACUCCUUUUGUUUUCAUUGUGUACACCUAGGUAAGGUGAAAUGGUUUUGUAAAGAGAAAAUGCACAAUAUGAUAUUUUAUAUUUAUCACUUGAUAAGGUAAACUGAAAACUAAUAGUAGAAGUCAUAUCUUACAGAUAUCUUACAGCAUUCGGCAUACGGUAUGAUUCCAGAUUUGUUAGUUCUGAGAGAAAUCACACCAUCUUGAUUUCCUAUUUCCAGAAAGGAAAUCAAGCAAUCUUGGUUAUGCUGUCAUUGUUACCUAAUAGAUAAUGGAUAAUUGCUAAAUCUUUUGACUUUAUAAUUGUAAAAUCAUAUGCUUUUUUUGUUUUCAUUCUUCAAAUGCAGGACUUAUAACUGUGUCAUUGAUAUACAAUCAUGGAUGACUUUGUGAGAAGAACAGAUGUCAUUUUCUUUAACUUGUUCAAUAAAUAAUUUAAUGU